rnacentral:misc_RNA from 1 species
GCAAGAUACAACAAAUUUGACAAAAAAAAAAUCAAUAUUAAGGAGUUUAGAGUAGUUAUUCACUUCUUUCUGAGAAACAGUUUAAAAUCCUAAGUACUCUCCUUUAGUUAAUUUCUCACCUUAUUACAAAGUGAAAACAGUAAAAAAUAUUAUAUGAUAAAAGAUUUGAGUGAUGUGAGAUGAGAUCUGCACUUACAGCCAGAAUUAGAAAGGACACAUGAUUUUAUACCUUGACAAUUAAAUUCUUUUCUACUCAUAAUUUAUAAGGGUUCAUGAUGACAGUUCCUCAAAUUUCAGUUAAUAACAGCUAUUAGUUAUAUGAUGACCAGAAUCUGAAAUCAACAUAGGGAGUCUAUAGACUAUAAUAUCAUCAUGAACCCUACCAAAUUUGAUA